rnacentral:rRNA from 1 species
GGUUAAGCGACUAAGCGUACACGGUGGAUGCCCUGGCAGUCAGAGGCGAUGAAGGGCGUGCUAAUCUGCGAUAAGCGCCGGUAAGGUGAUAUGAACCGUUAUAACCGGCGAUACCCGAAUGGGGAAACCCAGUGUGACUCGUCACACUAUCAUUAACUGAAUCCAUAGGUUAAUGAGGCGAACCGGGGGAACUGAAACAUCUAAGUACCCCGAGGAAAAGAAAUCAACCGAGAUUCCCCCAGUAGCGGCGAGCGAACGGGGAGGAGCCCAGAGCCUGAAUCAGCAUGUGUGUUAGUGGAAGCGUCUGGAAAGGCGCGCGAUACAGGGUGACAGCCCCGUACACAAAAGCGCAUGUGCUGUGAGCUCGAUGAGUAGGGCGGGACACGUGGUAUCCUGUCUGAAUAUGGGGGGACCAUCCUCCAAGGCUAAAUACUCCUGACUGACCGAUAGUGAACCAGUACCGUGAGGGAAAGGCGAAAAGAACCCCGGCGAGGGGAGUGAAAAAGAACCUGAAACCGUGUACGUACAAGCAGUGGGAGCACCCUUUGGGUGUGACUGCGUACCUUUUGUAUAAUGGGUCAGCGACUUAUAUUCUGUAGCAAGGUUAACCGAAUAGGGGAGCCGGAGGGAAACCGAGUCUUAAUUGGGCGUUAAGUUGCAGGGUAUAGACCCGAAACCCGGUGAUCUAGCCAUGGGCAGGUUGAAGGUUGGGUAACACUAACUGGAGGACCGAACCGACUAAUGUUGAAAAAUUAGCGGAUGACCUGUGGCUGGGGGUGAAAGGCCAAUCAAACCGGGAGAUAGCUGGUUCUCCCCGAAAGCUAUUUAGGUAGCGCCUCGUGAAUUCAUCUCCGGGGGUAGAGCACUGUUUCGGCUAGGGGGCCAUCCCGGCUUACCAACCCGAUGCAAACUGCGAAUACCGGAGAAUGUUAUCACGGGAGACACACGGCGGGUGCUAACGUCCGUCGUGAAGAGGGAAACAACCCAGACCGCCAGCUAAGGUCCCAAAGUCAUGGUUAAGUGGGAAACGAUGUGGGAAGGCCCAGACAGCCAGGAUGUUGGCUUAGAAGCAGCCAUCAUUUAAAGAAAGCGUAAUAGCUCACUGGUCGAGUCGGCCUGCGCGGAAGAUGUAACGGGGCUAAACCAUGCACCGAAGCUGCGGCAGCGACACUGUGUGUUGUUGGGUAGGGGAGCGUUCUGUAAGCCUGUGAAGGUGUGUCGUGAGGCAUGCUGGAGGUAUCAGAAGUGCGAAUGCUGACAUAAGUAACGAUAAAGCGGGUGAAAAGCCCGCUCGCCGGAAGACCAAGGGUUCCUGUCCAACGUUAAUCGGGGCAGGGUGAGUCGACCCCUAAGGCGAGGCCGAAAGGCGUAGUCGAUGGGAAACGGGUUAAUAUUCCCGUACUUGGUGUUACUGCGAAGGGGGGACGGAGAAGGCUAUGUUGGCCGGGCGACGGUUGUCCCGGUUUAAGCGUGUAGGUGUGUGUUCCAGGUAAAUCCGGUUCACUUUAACACUGAGGCGUGACGACGAGGCACUACGGUGCUGAAGCAACAAAUGCCCUGCUUCCAGGAAAAGCCUCUAAGCAUCAGGUAACAUCAAAUCGUACCCCAAACCGACACAGGUGGUCAGGUAGAGAAUACCAAGGCGCUUGAGAGAACUCGGGUGAAGGAACUAGGCAAAAUGGUGCCGUAACUUCGGGAGAAGGCACGCUGACACGUAGGUGAAGUGAUUUACUCAUGGAGCUGAAGUCAGUCGAAGAUACCAGCUGGCUGCAACUGUUUAUUAAAAACACAGCACUGUGCAAACACGAAAGUGGACGUAUACGGUGUGACGCCUGCCCGGUGCCGGAAGGUUAAUUGAUGGGGUCAGCGCAAGCGAAGCUCCUGAUCGAAGCCCCGGUAAACGGCGGCCGUAACUAUAACGGUCCUAAGGUAGCGAAAUUCCUUGUCGGGUAAGUUCCGACCUGCACGAAUGGCGUAAUGAUGGCCAGGCUGUCUCCACCCGAGACUCAGUGAAAUUGAACUCGCUGUGAAGAUGCAGUGUACCCGCGGCAAGACGGAAAGACCCCGUGAACCUUUACUAUAGCUUGACACUGAACAUUGAGCCUUGAUGUGUAGGAUAGGUGGGAGGCUUUGAAGUGUGGACGCCAGUCUGCAUGGAGCCGACCUUGAAAUACCACCCUUUAAUGUUUGAUGUUCUAACGUGGACCCGUUACCCGGGUUGCGGACAGUGUCUGGUGGGUAGUUUGACUGGGGCGGUCUCCUCC